rnacentral:lncRNA from 1 species
CUAAAGUAUUGAUGUAUGCUAUAAGUAUACUGAUAUGAUGAUAAAUCGCUGUUAUUCGCUUUGCGAGAGUAAAAAAUAAAUAAAUAUUGAGUAAUAUGUCUAUAAAUCAUACAAUUAAUAAUAAUAAUCUUUUAUAAGAAAAGUCGUGUAGAUCCGAAAAGUGCACGUUUUGUCAUCGCUUUUCCACGUAAGUGAUUGACGUUUAAAUCCGCUACAAGUUUCACGGCGAUGAUGUGACAGUUCGUGGUUAAUGACGCGUGCGAGGUUAAUAGUUAGUUAUUUGUGUUUUUGUACGCGUAUUAUAUUGCAAAGGAAAAUAUGGCUGUGCUGAAUUUGGAGAUUGGUUAACGUACUGUGCGUUGUAGAAUCAGGACACAUUGCCUGUUUUUCAUUGUGCAAUAGGCUUUACUUAAAAAUUAAUUAAAUUAUAAUUGUGACAAUGUUGCAUUUACUGUUUCAAGAGAGAGAAAGACAAUGUGCAGCAAUUCAUGCAAGCAGAAUUUUAAAGCGAAGAAUUCGAGACAUGUCAAACCCAUUUACUCUUCCUGAAAAAGAGUGGGUAUGUAUCGCCUAACACAACAAUUAACAUUAUUUCUCACAGAGGAAUUAAGUCCACAUCUUCCUCCACGUAUAAAAGUAACAGCAAUUUCGAAUGAAAUCAAGGUACUGUGUGCCUUGAAUUUCUAUGCCUAAGGAAGUUAUCAAAAGGCUGUUGGAAUUGAUAGUAGAUUGGGUAUAGCUCAGCCUACUAAAUUAUAAUAAGACUAGAAUUCCAGGAUUAGUAGGAUUCGUAGAUGGAACAAACGUAGCAAUAAAAAUUCCCACUUUACAUGAAGGAUUGUAUGUAAACAGGAAAGGUUUUCAUGCUCAGCAUGUGCAAAUUAUUUCGGAGGAACAAACCUUCCCUCUUCCAAAAAACUUGACGUGCACGCAAUUCUUGUCAGAUCGCGUAUUUGCGUUGAAGGCUUGGGACAACGUUAGUGAAAGAGGAGAUAUUUUUUAUACACGGCGGUUAUAAUUCAAGUAUUUUGACACGAUUGAUUAUCAAUAUGGAUCCAAUUAUCGAAACGAUAAUGAGCGUGGUAACGCUAUAUUCAUUCAAUUUUAAUGAUGAAGAUUCUGACGACGAUGAAGACACCGAAUUACUCGAAUUGCAAUUACAUGAAUUACGCAGACGUCUUGAAACUGAAAAAAAUAAGCCUAAUCGAGUGGAGAUGUUUGUUGAACGUACAAUCGCAAACAGCACAGCUUUGGAAUUUCAAAGCCAUUUCCGUAUGUCUGUGGAGACAUUUGAAUGGCUAUACAGAACUGUCGCACCUGAACUCCAAAGUGCUCGAAUAAGUGGACGCCAAAUGGUUGAUCCAAAAACAAAUACUCGCUGUGCUUUGGCUGUUGGUAACUCCUGAUAGUUACAGAUCAAUCGGCAAUCGUUUCAAUAUGGGAAAAAGCAGCAUAUUUGUCAGUUUUGUCAGGGUGAUUAGAGCCAUAAAUGGCCUGGCUCCUCGCCUCAUAAUUUGGCCUUCCGGGGAAAAAGCUAUUCAAUGUGAGAACAAAUUUUAUCACAUGGCGCGUAUCAGAGGGGUAGUAGGAGCUAUCGAUGGCACAUAUGUGCCAAUUAAAGCACCAUCGGAGAACCCAGAAACUUAUAUAAAUAGAAAGUGCUUCCACGGUAUAACUCUACAGUGCAUCUGCGACAGUUCCAUGAUGUUCACUAAUUGUUUUACAAUUGCUAUCCAAGUUCUGUCUCAGACGUCAGAAUUUUUAGAAAUUCCAAUAUAUACAGAGAGUUCAUGGAACGUCCGUAUAAUUAUUUUCAAGGCAACAGAUUUGUAAUUGGGGAUAAAGCAUAUCCCGUAUAUACAUGGUGUGUGCCUCCGUAUAUUGAUCGAGGUAAUUUGGCCAAAUGGCAAACUAAUUUUAAUUCUGCACAUGCCAAGACAAGACAAGUGAUUGAACCAUUCGCAUUACUGUUCGGAAGAUUUCGACGUCUAAAAUAUUUAGACAUGAAUAGGAUUGAUCUGAUUCCUGCAACAAUAAUCGCAGUAUGCGUACUGCAUAAUAUAUGUUUACAUCAUUCAGAUCAUUUAGCUGAGAUGUAUGAGGCUGAGGGAAGAGCUUUUAUGUUUGGAAAUGAAAAUAAUAUAAAUAAUGAGGAAAACGUUAAUAUAAAUGAUGGAGAAAACGUUAAUAUUGCCCAAGAAGGCAUUAGAUUCCGUAACAGAUUAGCACGAAAUCUAGCGCAAAAUUUUGAAUAAAGCACAGUACGCCUGUGAUAAUAAUAAAUAUAUGGUAACAAAUAUGUCGACGAAGUUAAUGUAUUUAAACAUUUGAUACAAGUAGUAUAUGUUACAUUGUACAUUUAACGUUUUUAUGACAUAUUAGAUUUUUUUAAUUAUAUGUAAUUAAACUUUUAAAAUGUUAAAUAUAACAAUGUUCAGUUGUAUACUUUGAAGACAUGUUAAAUAAAUAGAAUUACAGCCUA